UCGGCUAUAAUCAAAAGUAUAUAUUCAUUACCGAUAGAAACUCAUUUAACCAAUUAUUGAAACUAAAAGAAAUGCGUGACGUGUUUCAUUUACUCAUAAUAACCAUUGAUGAGGCAUUGAAUACGGGUUUCUUCUAUUUAUAUACUUCUGAUCCAAUCCAUGAUGGUGAAUACACUCGACUUGGAGCUUGGAUUACACGAUUCAUAAAAACAUCCGACGACAUCUUCCCAAAUAAAUUUUCAGAUAUGAAAGGAAAAGUCUUACCCUGUGCCUA
rnacentral:lncRNA from 1 species